CCCGACGCUGUGAUGUUCGUUUUCUGUGUUGUCAGAAUAAGUUUUCCUACGUUAAGCAUCCAUAUUUUUGAAGAAAGUGAUGAUGGUUUGAUUCGCAGAGGAAUCGUUUAAUUUUCUUUUUUUGUCGUAUUCCCCGAAAGAAACUAACAAAUCCAAUUAGGAACGAACAGCACACAGGGUGUUGUCGAAGAGGAACACGUAGUCUAGAUUAUGAGAACAAAUUUGAAAUUCUAGACAAUGCUCUUGAGCAAUGUGUCCGUUGUUUUUGACUUCGUUUAAUGUUGUGGCUGAAUGGACAAUGAGAGAUUGAAUCAACAACAUAUCAAGUGGGCAGCUCAUGGUCAAACUCGUUUGGCAUAAAGGGUUUGUUAGAUAAGGGUGGAGGCAGCUUUAACAAUUUAGAUCUAGCACCUAUUAGACUGGUGGUGUUGGCCCCGUGAAUCUUAUCGUCUUCAAGCUGGGUGAAAAAACAAUGAUUCAGUUGGUUUCGUGCAACAUCCUCACAAAAAUGGGACAAGACUUAACAAAAAGAGCAUAUAGAUGCAGUGUCAAACUGUACCAGUGAGUACCAGAGUAAUGUGACAAACAUUCAUGAUGGUGAUUAAUCUUCACACAGCUAACAUUUAGUUGUUUUUCUAAUGCAGUUUGGAAGCCACUUUGAGUAAACCUUUCGUCAGUUACUCACAAAAAAAGAUUGGCAAAUCUAGUCCUGAGAGAUCACUUUUUUUGUCAAGGAAAUACUGGAAAUUGGUAUUGAAAAGGUAUUCAACCAUGGCAUGUUGACCAGCUAUCUGCGGAGUGAAAAUCUACUUGACAGUGUUCAACCAGUUAAGUACAUUUUACAAAAGAUUCUGAGAAUUGCAAAAGUUAUGUGAACAAAUUUUGUAUUGGAGAAAUUCUAGGUAAAAUGAAAGCCAUUUCACAAUACAGCUGAAUAGCUAUGAAAUGCAACCAAUCCAGGAACUGAGUGUGUUGAACAACCAAACUUAUCUUGGAGAGCUGCAGAAAGAGAAUGGAACAUUACCCUGCCAAACACCUGCUUC